rnacentral:rRNA from 1 species
UACAGAGGGUGCAAGCGUUAAUCGGAAUUACUGGGCGUAAAGCGUGCGUAGACGGUUAUGUAAGUUAGGUGUGAAAGCCCCGGGCUCAACCUGGGAAUUGCAUUUAAGACUGCAUAGCUAGGGUGCGGAAGAGGGAAGCGGAAUUUCCGGUGUAGCGGUGAAAUGCGUAGAUAUGCGGAGGAACACCGAUGGCGAAGGCAACUCCCCUGGACCUGUACUGACGCUCAUGCACGAAAGCGUGGGGAGCGAACAGG